GGUGGCGCUUGCUCCAUAUUUAGCAUUGAAUCCUGUAAAGCAUGUAGGAGAAUUUUGACAAUUUCCACUCAAUGUCAUACUUUGGCGACAAAAUUUGAAAUAAUCUUUUUGCACCACAUCUACAACAUUGAAUACAUCAAAACAAAAUCAUAAAAGUUAGAUCAUUAAGAAUGUUAAUAUGAUUUCAUGUAAUUUGCUAAAGGUGCAAACAAAUCAUUACAUAAGAAUUAAACUCUUUGAGAAUAACUUACACACUUUAAGAAAGUUAUCUAUGAAUAAUAAGAACAUAAAAAAUUAUAAUAUUAAAAUUAAUAAUGGAAAGUGAUAUGUUUACCAGAGCCGUAGUUGAGGUUGAAGAGAGCAAAUAAAAUUCCAACGGCUAAGAGAAUGCUUCCUACUUUCAUCAUGAUGAUAUUC
rnacentral:lncRNA from 1 species